UCUGCAGGAGCCCCGGGCUCAGCGUCUCCCACUGGCACCAGGAGCUCCUGCAAUGGGGAGUUGCAGUGGCAAUGCCACGGGCUGGUUGGGGCUGCUCCAGGCAGGGCUGAGUGACAUCCCUGGCUGCCCUCUCCCUGAGACCAAGGCUUAUCUGGGGCCAGUGGGAAAGGCCUGUCCCAUGUUGUGGUGUGUCCCUCUUGCAGUGAGAGAAUUUCCAAAAUCUGGCACGUGCAGAGCAUCUCCAUCCAGCAGACGGAGACCCGGCAGCCCCAGGUGAGCAGUGCUGACCCCACUCCCAUCCCAGGCACUGGUUGUGUAGCUUCAGGUGGCCACUUGGGAGAGGAGGCCCUGGCCAGCCCUUGCCUGUGCCACCAGGCAGCUCAUCCCCCCGCAGGGCUGGGGAAAGAACAAGGCCUCAGGGGCGUCCAGUCCUGCCGCAGCUACACUGGUCCCACUGCCACCAUUUCCCACAGCAGCCACAGCUCACACUGGCAUCCCUCAACACCAAGAGCCAGCAGUGCCAGGGCCUCGGCUGUUCNNNNNNNNNNNNNNNNNNNNNNNNNNNNNNNNCCACCAUUUCCCACAGCAGCCACAGCUCACACUGGCAUCCCUCAACACCAAGAGCCAGCAGUGCCAGGGCCUCGGCUGUUCGUGAGCCCAGAGGGACUGUCAGAACACACACCCCCCACACACACACCCCCACAUGGGGUGGUGCUGCCUUGCAGGGAGAGGUCUGCAUCCCACCCAUCGUCAACACCCUCCCUUGCUGUUCUCUGACCAAAACCUGCACUGCCGGUGCUGUCGUCCAGCCCCAGAGCCUGGCAGGAGCUGCAAGAUGGGCUGGCCGCAGCAGUGAGCCAGACAAACGCUGCUCAUGUGUCCUAGGGCCAAAGGCAAGCGUCGGCGCUGGAGCCACAGGAAGGGGAGCCCCAGGCAUGCCGGGACAGAGAGCAGCAGGAGCUGGAGCCAGCACAGGUGCUGGCCUUGAUACUGCAGCUGCAAAUGGACUUCUUCAGGGGCGAGAACCGCAAGCGGCUGGACCAGCUGCAGCAGCGGGAGUGUGCAGUGGAGCAGGAGCUCCAGGAAUUGGCCCUUCUGAUGCAGCACUAUCCGAAGGAGGUGAUGAGGAAGGUACCGCUGCCAGGCAUGACGGUCACAGCCCAAGAUUACAUGAGUCCCCCACCCUCAGCCGUGUGUCCCCNUGUGUCCCCCACAGCCGUCCC
rnacentral:lncRNA from 1 species